UGGACCCGCAUGGGUCGGCCCGGGGGAUUCAACCGGUCCGUUGCGUUCGGGACGCGCGGGGGAUUAUGCGGAGCUGUAAAGCCCGUGCCUUCGCGUGGGUCUCCGGGCGGACCGGUGCACUUUCCUCGGGUCGACGGCCACGACCGGCUCUCCGUGCGGCCACAAGCCUGUCGCUGGGAAGGUGACCGUCGGCCCCGCGCCGGCGGCGUUACAGCCCAGCCAGUUCGUUGAGCUCGUCGGAGGGCCGAGGAAGCUUGCCGCUUCUCGUCCACCCUCCCGCCAUCCUUGCUCGUCACGACCGGGGCGGACUGGUCAGUCAGUGCUCUCCCGACCGCGAGCGUAGGAAGGGCCGGGUACGGUGCGAGAAUUUGCUUCGGGCCAGUGGCGAAUCGGUCGGUCCUCCAUCCGACCCGUCUUG
rnacentral:rRNA from 1 species